rnacentral:misc_RNA from 1 species
CCUCAUAGCAAGGUUUCUUAGCUGCUUAACCAUUCCCCCAACGCUUGUAGGUGAGCCAUUACUUUAAGCGGCCAUUGAAUGUGUUGCACAAAAUGACCAACUCAGCUAACAAGGCUUUGUGAUAAACAUGCAUCACGUCUUAAAAUUUUGCCUCGACUUUGAAGUCAGAAUACAUUUCUUUAGUUCAUGUCAACUGACACAAAGCACACUUUGAGAUCAUUAAUCCACCUUUACAUCAAUUUAAAAACCGGCCAACACACUCACAUAUCAAAUCUAUAAAAACUAUUUUUCAACUCGAUCUAAAACUAAAAACACCCUAGUAGAUUUUGAAGAGCUUGCUUCAAAAGUUAAUAUGAACAAUUAGGUUUUUAAGAGACACAACAACUCUCUGUGGGAGAUGGAAUUCUUAGAAAUGGCACUUGAAAGAACACCGCAGAUCUUAAAGCAAUUUGAACAUUUUAAGGGCAAAACUAAAUGCAAUCUUUGGACACGGGGAUAAAUGACGAGUUUGAGCAUUUACUCCAUGGCGAUUUAUCAAGCAUGAGCUAACUUACUAAGUAGGAAAUCUUGAUGCUCUUUAGAAGUUAGAUUAUAAUGGCGACACCAAGCCCAAAUUAGUGCAAGAAGCAGCCAGAUUAAGGGAUCAACAAAAGAUAACAUGUAGCUUUCCAGAUUUAGCAGAAGCAUAACCACACCACUUUCUCACAUCACUUUCUUACUUAAGCAGAAGCUUUCAUAGCCUUUCUCCUAAGGAUAACAUCAAACUCUAGCCAUAGAUUAUUUUCUUGAUCACUAACCUGUGCAUCAGCCCCAGAAGACACCAGUACAUUUAAACUUUGGGAAAAAGCAAGUCCUGAUAUUCGACUUUGGUGGCCCUUAAGCUUUGUUUUAACCUCAUCAACUCUGACAUUAUAAAUUUGAACUGAAGAAUCUUCCAUGCCAAUGGCAAUGAUAUUAUUAUCCUGAGGAUGGAAUGCCAAAAAUGUGGCAGCAGGAGGU